rnacentral:rRNA from 1 species
UACAGAGGGUGCAAGCGUUUAUCGGAAUUACUGGGCGUAAAGCGCGCGUAGGUGGUUUGUUAAGUUGGAUGUGAAAUCCCUGGGCUCAACCUGGGAACUGCAUUCAAAACUGACAAGCUAGAGUAUGGUAGAGGGUGGUGGAAUUUCCUGUGUAGCGGUGAAAUGCGUAGAUAUAGGAAGGAACACCAGUGGCGAAGGCGCUCUACUGGGCCAUUACUGACGCUGAUGGACGAAAGCUAGGGGAGCGAAAGGG